rnacentral:tRNA from 1 species
GGGGUUGUGGCUCAGUGGUAGAGCGCUUACCUAGCGUGUAUGAAGCACUGGGUUUAAUCCUCAGUACCACA